rnacentral:rRNA from 1 species
GAUGAACGCUAGCUACAGGCUUAACACAUGCAAGUCGAGGGGAAACGACAUCGAAAGCUUGCUUUUGAUGGGCGUCGACCGGCGCACGGGUGAGUAACGCGUAUCCAACCUGCCCAUCACUUGGGGAUAACCUUGCGAAAGUAAGACUAAUACCCAAUGAUAUCUCUAGAAGACAUCUGAAAGAGAUUAAAGAUUUAUCGGUGAUGGAUGGGGAUGCGUCUGAUUAGCUUGUUGGCGGGGUAACGGCCCACCAAGGCAACGAUCAGUAGGGGUUCUGAGAGGAAGGUCCCCCACAUUGGAACUGAGACACGGUCCAAACUCCUACGGGAGGCAGCAGUGCGGAAUAUUGGUCAAUGGGCGAGAGCCUGAACCAGCCAAGUAGCGUGCAGGAAGACGGCCCUAUGGGUUGUAAACUGCUUUUAUAAGGGAAUAAAGUGAGAGUCGUGACUCUUUUUGUAUGUACCUUAUGAAUAAGGACCGGCUAAUUCCGUG